GACGAACGCUGGCGGAGUGCUUAACACAUGCAAGUCGAACGGAAAGGCCUCUUUCGGGGGGUACUCGAGUGGCGAACGGGUGAGUAACACGUGAGUAACCUGCCCUUGACUUUGGGAUAACUUCAGGAAACUGGGGCUAAUACCGGAUAGGAGCUCCUGCUGCAUGGUGGGGGUUGGAAAGUUUCGGCGGUUGGGGAUGGACUCGCGGCUUAUCAGCUUGUUGGUGGGGUAGUGGCUUACCAAGGCUUUGACGGGUAGCCGGCCUGAGAGGGUGACCGGCCACAUUGGGACUGAGAUACGGCCCAGACUCCUACGGGAGGCAGCAGUGGGGAAUAUUGCACAAUGGGUGGAAGCCUGGUGCAGCAACGCCGUGUGCGGGAUGACGGCCUUCGGGUUGUAAACCGCUUUCGCUCAUGACGAAGCUUUGUGUGACGGUAGUGGGUAAAGAAGCACCGGCUAACUACGUG
rnacentral:rRNA from 1 species